UAAAGCGUGCGCAGGCGGCUUUGCAAGACAGAGGUGAAAUCCCCGGGCUCAACCUGGGAACUGCCUUUGUGACUGCAAGGCUAGAGUACGGCAGAGGGGGAUGGAAUUCCGCGUGUAGCAGUGAAAUGCGUAGAUAUGCGGAGGAACACCAAUGGCGAAGGCAAUCCCCUGGGCCUGUACUGACGCUCAUGCACGAAAGCGUGGGGAGCAAACAGGAUUAGAUACCCAGU
rnacentral:rRNA from 1 species